AUGGCGUUUCACGUCGCGUGCCCCAUCACUUGCCGGAGGGUGUGCGACUGCGAGCUAGGGUUCGGCGCCGCGAGGGCCAACAAGAGGGCCGGGGCAUGGGCCGGCGUCGCGGCGGCGCUCGAGGGCUUCCUCGCCGAUCCGUGGCUGCUGAGGCCGGCGGUGGCGGGGGCGGGGGAUGCCCGAGAGCCCGGCACGGUGCAGGUGGAGGUGCCGCCGCUCGAACUGCCGGAGGAGGGCGAGGACGAGGCGUGCAGGGCGGCGAUGCAGCGCCAGGCCGCCGCCGCGGAGGACUUCGCCAGGCGCCUCGAGGGCGCCUAUGAAUCUCCGGAGGCUGAAGGAGAUGAAGAUGACUCGGAUCGAGAAGAUCAAGGGAAUGCUGCUGUCAAGGUUAUGUGCCGCUUAUGCUUCUCUGGAGAAAACGAGGGCAGCUCAAAAGCUGCCAAAAUGGUUCCAUGCAAACUCUGCAACAAGAAGUAUCAUAAGAAGUGUGUGAAAAAUUGGGGUGAACAUAGAGAUCUCUUCCACUGGAGCUCGUGGAUCUGUUCAUCUUGCCGCAGCUGUGAGGUGUGUCGGCGGCCUGGUGAUCCCAAUAAGUUAAUGUUCUGUAAAAGGUGUGAUGGAGCCUAUCACUGUUACUGUCAGCAACCCUCACACAAGAAUGUUACUCAUGGACCAUAUUUAUGUCCAAAACAUACAAGGUGUCACAGCUGUGGAUCUGGUGUACCUGGGAGUGGCCAUAGCACAAGGUGGUUUUUGGGGUACACAUGCUGUGAUGCUUGUGGGCGGUUGUUUGUGAAAGGAAACUACUGUCCAGUUUGCUUGAAGGUUUAUAGAGAUUCUGAAGUGAUACCUAUGGUUUGCUGCGACGUUUGUGAAAAGUGGGUACAUAUUGAAUGUGAUGGCAUCAGCGAGGAAAAGUACCAGCAGUUCCAAGCUGACCAAAAUCUCCAGUAUACAUGCGCAUCAUGCCGUGGCGAAUGCUCCCAGAUCAGGGAUGCAGAAGAUGCAGUUAGGGAGCUUUGGAAGAGGAGGAACAUUGUUGAUCAUGAUCUUAUGGUUAGUUUAAGGGCUGCUGCUGGACUGCCUUCUUUAGAAGAUGUGACACCUUGUCCAAACUCGGACGAUGAAAGGCUCGGUGCAUUAGUAUUGAAAAAUGAUGGUAGAAACACACUAAAAUUCUCUUUCAAAAGUAACAGCAGUAAGCCUCCAUUAGAUCAAUCUGAACAAGAAAAGAAUGUUCCUAAGAACUCAGGGACGAAUAAGAAGCAUUCCAAGAAAAAAGGCAAUCAAGGUAAUAAGUCAGUUGCUGAUCCGAAUGAGAUAUUUCUUGAGAGAAGGCAUGAAGUCAAAUCAAUGAGUAGUCACUUGGGAGAUCAUACUGUAGAUAUUAAUCAUGACAGGAAUUCUUUCAAGAAUAAUGAGAAUGUGUUUGUUUUAUCUUCAACUCGAAGUUCAGAGAAGGAUCUGAAAUCCACAUCUGCGAAAGCUGCAACAAACAGUGCAGAUAUGAUACCAAAAGUCAAAAUCAAAGGCAGUAAGGUGCCGAGCCUGCAUUUCAAAGAUAUAGGUGAGGAAAAUAAUGCCAAGGGUGACACAGGGAAAGGUACCAAGUUGGUUAUUCAUCUUGGAACACGUCACAAAAGUAAAAGUGGCUCUCCUAAGUCUGAAAUGUCCAAUUCUCAUAAAGAGCAAGAGCUUGGUUUGAUGCAUGGAGGGAAAAUUGAUGUAACAAGCCACUUCAAAAGCUCGAAGAGUAGUAAAAAGGAAAAAAGUGUAAUGAAACUAGUUGGAGAGACAGGAGUACAGCAAAGAAGUAGCCUUUUGGGAGAUCUGGGCACCUCCAAAAAGCAUGCAACUGGAAAAAGGAGCAGUGCUCUAAUUUCUGGGAUGGAAAAUGCAAGUGAAAGUGGAACAAGAAGCAGAUCAUUUGGACAUAAGCAAUCUAUUCCCAGUCAGCUGACAGAGAGCCAGGGCACUGCUUCAGUUCCUGUCAACAACUCUCCUGACAGCUUAAAGCCCUCGUUGCUUAAACUCAAAUUUAAGCGUCCACAUUUGGAGCAGCCAAGUGCCCAGGUUUCCCAACCAGAGGAGCCGGCCACCUGGGCUUCUCAGCAAGAGGACUUAAAUGUUGCUAAAGGCCAGAGAUCAAAGAGGAAAAGACCUUCGACAGACAAGAUGGAUGGCUCAGAGGGCAGUACUCCAUCCAAGAGGCAUGGGCAGAGCACAGGGGACGAAGCAAUGGAUGCGACCUGGAUACUGCGCAAGUUGGGCAAUGAUGCAAUUGGGAAGAGGAUUGAGAUCCAAUUAGCUUCUGAUGGCAAAUGGCAUCAAGGUGUGGUAUCUAAUGUCAUCAGCGGCAUGCUUUGUGUUCAGUUAGAUAAUGGUAGCUCUGAGAACUUAGAGCUGGGAAAGCAGGCAGUUCGAUUGAUAGCUCAAAGAUCGAAGGGCGGAAAGAGAUGA
rnacentral:rRNA from 1 species